GCUGGCGGCACGCCUUAUACAUGCAAGUCGAACGAAGUAGCAAUACUUAGUGGCAGACGGGUGAGUAACAUGUAGGUAUCUUCCCUUUGGUGAGGAAUAACACGAGGAAACUUGUGCUAAUACCUCAUAAGUCUUCACGGAGAAAGCUUUAUGCGCCGAAGGAUGAGCCUGCACUUGAUUAGUUUGUUGGUGGGGUAAUGGCCUACCAAGACUUUGAUCUAUAGCUGAUCUGAGAGGAUGAUCAGCCACAUUGGGACUGAGACACGGCCCAAACUCCUACGGGAGGCAGCAGUAGGGAAUAUUGCACAAUGGAGGAAACUCUGAUGCAGCGAUGCCGCGUGAGUGAAGAAGGCCUUUGGGUUGUAAAGCUCUUUCGUCGGGGAAGAAAAUGACUGUACCCGAAUAAGAAGGUCCGGCUAACUUCGUGCCAGCAGCCGCGGUAAUACGAAGGGACCUAGCGUAGUUCGGAAUUACUGGGCUUAAAGAGUUCGUAGGUGGUUAAAAAAGUUGGUGGUGAAAUCCCAGAGCUUAACUCUGGAACUGCCAUCAAAACUUUUUAGCUAGAGUAUGAUAGAGGAAAGCAGAAUUUCUAGUGUAGAGGUGAAAUUCGUAGAUAUUAGAAAGAAUACCAAUUGCGAAGGCAGCUUUCUGGAUCAUUACUGACGCUGAGGAACGAAAGCAUGGGUAGCGAAGAGGAUUAGAUACCCUCGUAGUCCAUGCCGUAAACGAUGUGUGUUAGACGUUGGAAAUUUAUUUUCAGUGUCGCAGCGAAAGCAUUAAACACACCGCCUGGGGAGUACGACC
rnacentral:rRNA from 1 species